AAGCGAUUCUCCUGCCUCAGCCUCCCUAGUAACUGGGAUUACAGAAGUUUUCAUGGGCUGAUCUGCUGAGUUCAGCCUGGGAACUGAGGCCAACAUCGGAGUCUCCUCAUCACACAAGUUUGGAAGAAGUCUUAGUGACUUGAAGCUCAGAACCGUGGACGGCAGAGGCUCCCUUUGGACAUGGAAUUCUCCAUCCCUUUCCAGGGAG